AUUGAACGCUGGCGGAAUGCUUUACACAUGCAAGUCGAACGAUGAACCUUAGCUUGCUAAGGGGAUUAGUGGCGAACGGGUGAGUAAUGUAUCGGAACGUAUCAAAUAAUGGGGGAUAACUAGUCGAAAGAUUAGCUAAUACCGCAUACGUUCUACGGGAGAAAGCUAGGGACCUUCCGGCCUGGCGUGAAUGGAGCGCCCGAUAUCUGAUUAGCUAGUUGGUGGGGUAAAGGCUCACCAAGGGGACGAUCAGUAGCUGUUCUGAGAGGACGACCAGCCACACUGGAACUGAGACACGGUCCAGACUCCUACGGGAGGCAGCAGUGGGGAAUUUUGGACAAUGGGCGAAAGCCUGAUCCAGCCAUUCCGCGUGAGUGAAGAAGGCCUUCGGGUUGUAAAGCUCUUUCGCAAGGGAAGAAAACUUAAGCUCUAACAUAGCUUGAGGUUGGCGGUACCUUGAUAAGAAGCACCGGCUAACUACGUGCCAGCCGCCGCGGUAA
rnacentral:rRNA from 1 species